AACGAACGCUGGCGGCAUGCCUAACACAUGCAAGUCGAACGAGACCUUCGGGUCUAGUGGCGCACGGGUGCGUAACGCGUGGGAAUCUGCCCUCGGGUUCGGAAUAACAGUUGGAAACGACUGCUAAUACCGGAUGAUGACGUAAGUCCAAAGAUUUAUCGCCCAAGGAUGAGCCCGCGUAGGAUUAGCUAGUUGGUGAGGUAAAGGCUCACCAAGGCGACGAUCCUUAGCUGGUCUGAGAGGAUGAUCAGCCACACUGGGACUGAGACACGGCCCAGACUCCUACGGGAGGCAGCAGUGGGGAAUAUUGGACAAUGGGCGAAAGCCUGAUCCAGCAAUGCCGCGUGAGUGAUGAAGGCCUUAGGGUUGUAAAGCUCUUUUACCCGGGAUGAUAAUGACAGUACCGGGAGAAUAAGCUCCGGCUAACUCCGUG
rnacentral:rRNA from 1 species